rnacentral:rRNA from 1 species
AUGCAGCUAUCGCAGGGAUCAAUGGCCGCGUCGGGAGACGACGACAUGGCCGACCUCGUGAUCUCCUCGCUCCCACUCGAGACGCGGUGCCCGCCCUACCAUCUCAGGCAGCACGGCGGCUUCUGGUUCUCCGAGCCGUUUCUCCCGGCCGUCGCGGCCGCCCGCGCGCGGUUCGAGGCCAGGCCGUCCGACGUCCUCCUCGCCAGCUUCCCCAAGUCCGGCACCACCUGGCUCAAGGCCCUCGCCAUCGCCACGCUCCACCGCGCCGACCAUCCGCCGCGCUCCCUCGACCACCCGCUCCGCCGCCGUAACCCCCACGACUGCGUCGAGACUCGAGACAGCGGCGAUGACGUGCUCGCGGCGCUCCCUUCGCCGCGCCUGCUCGCCACCCACCUGCCGUACACCCACGUGCCGAAGAGCGUGACCACCGAGGGCGCCGGGUGCAAGAUUGUGUACGUCUGCCGCGACCCCAAGGACGCGCUUGUCUCCAAGUGGCUAUUCACCAAGAAGAGAUUGGCGUUCGCGGCGGUUGACGACAGCCCGCCCAAGCCAUACACAAUCGAUGAGAUGUUCGAGCUGUUCUGCGACGGCCGAUGCACCUGCGGCCCGCAAUGGCACCACGUCCUUGGCUACUGGGAGGCGAGUCGGAGGCAGCCGGAGAAGGUGCUCUUCCUCCGGUACGAGGAGAUGCUCCGUGACCCGGUGGGCAACGUGAGGAAGCUGGCGGAGUUCAUGGGGUGCGCGUUCUCCGUCGAGGAAGAGGCGGCCGGGGUCGCGGAGGAAGUCGUAGAGCUGUGCAGCAUGGACACUCUCAAGAACAUGGAGGUGAACAAGAAUGGCACCCAAAACCACGUCAGGAAUGAGGCUUUCUUUCGGAAGGGCGUAGCCGGGGACUGGAGCAACCACAUGACACCGGAAAUGGCGGCACGGCUGGACAAGAUCGUGGAGGAUGCGCUACGAGGGUCGGGCUUCGCCUUCGGUGCCACCGCCGAGUCCGCGUGA